UACGAAGGGGGCUAGCGUUGUUCGGAAUCACUGGGCGUAAAGCGCACGUAGGCGGAUGUGCCAGUCAGGGGUGAAAUCCCGGAGCUCAACUCCGGAACUGCCUCUGAUACAGCACGUCUUGAGUUCGAGAGAGGUGGGUGGAAUUCCUAGUGUAGAGGUGAAAUUCGCAGAUAUCAGGAGGAACACCGGUGGCGAAGGCGGUGGUCUGGGCCGGCACUGACGCUGAGGAGCGAAAGCGUGGGUAGCAAACAGG
rnacentral:rRNA from 1 species